GAGAGUUGCAUUCGUAGGAAAAUAAUUCUGCCUGGGGAUGUUUAGAAGCCAGCAUGUCAAGGGUGGUGCUGAGGAUUGAGUGGUGUUAAUAAUAUAAACCAGCUUUUUGGCUCAGACCUUUUCCUCUGAAGACACCUGCUUCCUGUGCAAAAUACUGAGGGCCCAGCCUAGGUGUUGAGGUUGUUGGCUUUGCUGCUCCAUCAGACUUCGGGGAGCUGCUUGUACAGUGAAGUAUUCAGUUGUGCCUGCAGUCUCCAGAGGAACACACAGCUAAGGAAGAGGAAGACCUGUGAGGAUGACAAGCUGAGGGAUGUCCAAGUGUUCAGGAAAAGAGAAUGUGGGCCUGGACCAUCCUUAUGGCCUCCGCAUAGAGAGUGCCACCUGGGAGGGCUUGCGGAGGAGGAUCCUGAUCAUGGUGUGAAGAGCAGAAGGUGGCUGCUGUCAGAUACGGGAGCAGUGCCUAAGGAAAGGGCCCAAGGGGUGUUUUACGAGAGGGUGCAAAGAGGAGCAGGGCUCCUGCCAGAGAGCACUUUGGGGAUGAAGGAGACACCAGAGACAAGGCUCAAUCUGAGGCUACUCAGGUACUGAAGAGCAGGUACCUUUAGCCCUCACAAAGGAUAUUUUCCUGAGCUGCCAUGACUUCUGGUUGCCUGCUGUGAGAAACUGGUACCAGCCAGCUCACUUAAGCUGAUGAAAAAGUCUGAGUUAGAGUGUAUCAUCUGUGUAGAAUACGAGACAUCACCUCAACAAGUAUUACCAUCUGUCAGUUCUAGAUGCGCUUCCACAUGGAGAUUCAUGAAGCUCAUACCUUCUGGCAGUACUGUAGUCUUGGCCUUCAUGGAAGUUUCUAGAUAAGUUUUUUUCUUUACACUUUUUUUUUUUAGUGACAAUAAAACAUUUGCUGAUAUGACAUAAAGGACAUGUUUCUGAGUGCAUACUCCCAAAUGAAUAAAUGUGAACUCAAUACGUAUGGCAUGCUUUUUUUCCAGCAGAUAAAACAACUUCUGUUCUAUUUAAUUCACCAGGAGGUCACAGCCUUCCCUCCAGACUUAUCUUGUGAUGCACAUUGACCAGAUACACGUCUAGCAUUGAUACACAUGUGCAAUGGUUGGUGGAUGUCUAGAGACGUAUCUUCAGGCUGUGCCAGUGCUGCUGGUAUUGUAUAUUAUUAAUCUGAUAAUAAUAGAGCUGGAAGAAGGUAAAACAUAUGAGAAAUUAACUUGUGACUUUUGUUGCAAAUUGAAAGAAUUGCCCCCAAAGAGUCCUUGUUUUGAAGAAAACUGAACACUGCUUAACCUUUUGCUGCCAGUCCCUGCUGAAAUCAAGAUUAGAACAUCUGUUCUGUCCUGCCUCUAGUUGGAAAUUCUGGACAAUGGAACAACCAGAUACAUUCAUGUAUACUAAACAUUAAAGACUGAUUUACACGC
rnacentral:lncRNA from 7 species